rnacentral:rRNA from 1 species
GUGAGGAAUUUUCCGCAAUGGGCGAAAGCCUGACGGAGCAAUGCCGCGUGAAGGAUGAAGGCCUAUGGGUUGUAAACUUCUUUUCUCAGAAAAGAAUUAUGACGGUAUCUGAGGAAUAAGCAUCGGCUAACUCUGUGCCAGCAGCCGCGGUAAGACAGAGGAUGCAAGCGUUAUCCGGAAUGAUUGGGCGUAAAGCGUCUGUAGGUUGUUUAAAAAGUAUUCUGUCAAAGAUUAGGGCUUAACCCUAGAUAGGCAGAAUAAACUUUUAAGCUAGAGUUUGGUAGAGGCAGAGGGAAUGCCCGGUGGAGCGGUGAAAUGCGUAGAUAUCGGGAGGAACACCAAAGGCGGAGGCACUCUGCUGGGCCAAUACUAACACUGAGAGACGAAAGCGAGGGGAGCGAAUGGGAUUAGAUACCCUGGUAGUCC